rnacentral:rRNA from 1 species
UACGUAGGGGGCAAGCGUUGUCCGGAAUCAUUGGGCGUAAAGCGCGUGUAGGCGGCUCGAUAAGUCUGCCGUGAAAGUCCAGGGCUCAACCCUGGGAUGCCGGUGGAUACUGUCGAGCUCGAGUCCGGAAGAGGCGAGUGGAAUUCCUGGUGUAGCGGUGAAAUGCGCAGAUAUCAGGAGGAACACCAAUGGCGAAGGCAGCUCGCUGGGACGUGACUGACGCUGAGACGCGAAAGCGUGGGGAGCAAACAGG